UUUCCCAAAAUUUGAAAUGUUUCAAAUUUCACGCUACUGGAAAAUAAACGCGAGGAGUUAGUAAAAAAGUUAAAACUAAGCCGUUCUGCCCACUGUCACUCCUCUCCCUCUCCCUCGCUGCAAAUAGAUAGACCGCCAGCCUCCUUCCGAUGGAAAUCGAAACCGUUGUCGAAAUCAAAGCCCUCAAAAAGGUGGUUGGUGGUUCAAAUUCACAAGGGUUUACAAUUCAAAUAUCAACUAUUACAUUUAUGAAGUGUGCAUUGGCUUGCUAGAGAUGUUUGUCCUCUUGAAUAAAUGAGUGCAGAGGAGACGAAUAUGAUUGGACGACCAAGUUUGGAACUAGGAUUUAAGUUUUGUUUGAGUGUGAAACUAGGUCUAUACAUGUUUUUGGUACAUUCUAGCAUAACUCAAUGGUUUGGUAUUUCUUACUAUAACUACUCAUUUUGUCGUUAGCUUUAGUGUAAUAUUUGAAUAUGUGAACUUUUAUGAAAUAAAUGUGCAGUUUUCUAUAUAAAUAUCUUUAUAUAUAUGUACUUAUUUAUUUAUUGACUAAUUUAUUAUUUUUUUUUUUAUUUUUGAGAAAAUUUUUGUAACGGGCAUUGGCCGUAAUCAAUUUGUAAUUCACAAUGGCCAUAGCACGUGGUAUUAGAUCUUGAUCUACGACGGGCACAAGCUGUGAUUAUAUUACAUUUGACAACGAACAAGACUUGUGGUAGAAAAUAAGAUUUUUUAUCACAUUCAGAUUACUAACAGGCACAAUGUUCGUGGUAGAUUGCAAUCUAUCAUGGACAUUGACCGUGAUAGAUGAGCUUUUUUUCUUCUAGUACUAAGAUGCCGAGAAGAACAAAGAGAAUGAUCAGUCAACGCACUACUACGGAGAUGCCUAGUACCAAAAGGAUGAGGCAGUACAAGGGCACAACGCAGUUGAUGGACCUCCCCAUCGACAUCCUCCUCAUCAUCCUAUCGAUAUCCUCCUCACCAUCCCUUCAACAUGAAUGUCAUGGAUGAUUUUUUGGAGAUCUUCAAGUUGAGAGACAACGGAUUUGGAAUUUACCAUUUUGUAGUCCAACAAUUUGCCCACGACAAAUUUCUUUAAACCAACAUCCCCUGUUUUAUAUUUUUUCUCAAGUGAUUCCCAAAGUUCAUUGGUUGUUUUGCAUACCACAUAAACAUCAUACAACGAAUCAUCUAAUGCAUUGAGAAUAUAGUUUCUGUAGAGGAAAUCAUUACGAUUCCAGGCAUAAUUACUUGUUAGGACACCAAUGAAUUACUUGUUAGGAUUCCUGACAUAACAUUGUAACCAGAUUUUAUCUUGUAAAUGUUAGAAGAAACUUCUUAUGCAUUCCAUUUUAUUUUACCUUUGAUGCAACUUUGCAUUUCAAGUUCGAACCUUCAUUUCAUGCCUAAAAAUAAAAAAAACAAAAACAAAAAUUGUAAUUAAUAUUUUACUUAAGUAAGUGGUAAUUUAUCACAAUGAUGAAAAAAAGUUUAAGUGCUUUUGAAUUAGAUAGAAAUGUCCACUAGCACGGAGCUUAACAUGUGAAACAUCUCAAAUGUCCAUGUAUGUAUGCCAUGAAACACAACACAAUCGACGCGAUAAACAAUAAAAUUUUACUCUCAACGAUUUAUCGCAGAAACAUGUUGAGAAUCAAAGUCAUUUGUAGGUGAAGUAAGUGUGUGAGGUUGGUGAAGUAAGUGGAGGUUGUAGGUGAAGUAGGUGGAUGUUGUAGGUGAAGUAAGUGUGUGAGGUUGGUGAAGUAAGUGGAGGUUGUAGGUGAAGUAGGUGG